rnacentral:rRNA from 1 species
AUUGAACGCUGGCGGCAGGCCUAACACAUGCAAGUCGAGCGGAGCGGCGGACGGGUGAGUAAUGCCUAGGAAUCUGCCUGGCAGUGGGGGAUAACGUACGGAAACGGGCGCGAAUCUCGCAUCCUAUACGAUGAGGCUAGGUCGGAUUAGCUAGUUGGUUGGGUAAAGGACUACAAAGGCGACGAUCCGUAACUGGUCUGAGAGUAUGAUCAGUCAAACUGGAACUGAGACACGGUCCAGACUCCUACGGGAGGCAGCAGUGGGGAAUAUGGGACAAUGGGCGAAAGCCUGAACCAGCCAUGCCGCGUGUGUGAAGAAGGUCUGCGGAUUGUAAAGCACUUUAAGUUGGGAGGCGUUACCAACAGAAUAAGCACCGGCUAACUACGUGCCAGCAGCCGCGGUAAUUC